AGUGAACGCUGGCGGUAGGCCUAACACAUGCAAGUCGAACGGCAGCACAGUAAGAGCUUGCUCUUACGGGUGGCGAGUGGCGGACGGGUGAGGAAUACAUCGGAAUCUACUUUUUCGUGGGGGAUAACGUAGGGAAACUUACGCUAAUACCGCAUACGACCUACGGGUGAAAGCAGGGGAUCUUCGGACCUUGUGCGAUUGAAUGAGCCGAUGUCGGAUUAGCUAGUUGGCGGGGUAAAGGCCCACCAAGGCGACGAUCCGUAGCUGGUCUGAGAGGAUGAUCAGCCACACUGGAACUGAGACACGGUCCAGACUCCUACGGGAGGCAGCAGUGGGGAAUAUUGGACAAUGGGCGCAAGCCUGAUCCAGCCAUACCGCGUGGGUGAAGAAGGCCUUCGGGUUGUAAAGCCCUUUUGUUGGGAAAGAAAAGCAGCCGGUUAAGACCCCGCUGUUCUGACGGUACCCAAAGAAUAAGCACCGGCUAACUUCGUG
rnacentral:rRNA from 1 species